AAGAGUUUGCCUUGUACUAUCACCAAGCCAAGAAGCUUGUCCUGUCCAAGCCCAACGAGGAUGUUGAACUGUCACUGGACCCCUUCAACUUUGAGCUCAUUUUUGUCUCUCCGGUGACUGUUUUGGGUGCUAAAAAGUCUGUCCAAUUUGCCCCCAUUGGCUUAGUGAACAUGCUCAACACCGGCGGUGCCAUCCAGUCCUUUGUUUUCAAUGAGGACGAGAGCUCUGUUCAAGUUGGAGUUAAGGGCACUGGAGAGCUCAGGGUCUUUGCUUCUGAGAAACCAACAAGUUGCAGGAUUGAGGGCAACGACGUUGCUUUUGAGUACGAGCAGAGCAUGGUCAUAAUCCAAGUGCCAUGGCCUGCUU
rnacentral:lncRNA from 1 species